GGAAGAGAGUACCAGGAAAAGGUACUGAUUCACAACUACUUAUCCCAACCAAGCUAAAAUAUUUUCAUUUUAAUUUCUACAGAGGUGCUACUGCACUUCUCUAACUAAGUCCUUUUGGUAUUUAAUAGUAGUAAGCAAUCGAUGGGAGAAAUCCAGAAAUUUUUAUCCUACAUUUACAGAUUUGAUAACCAGUAAACCAAAUCUGAAAUAAUUAUAGAAAGCUUACUUUGCAGUUAAAGGGACACUAUAAGUACCAUAACAAUGUUACCCUAAUGGAGCUGUUUUGUUGUAUAUAUCAUGCCCCACUUGGACUCACUGCUCAAUUCUUUGCCAUUUAGGAGUUAUAUAAUUUUGUUUAUGAAGCCCUAGUUAUACACUCCCAUUAACAAAAAAGAAACACCAUGAAUUUUCUUUUAUUUACUUCCCAUAUUGCACAUUGUGUUUACACCUGCUCUGUUAAUUGUAUGCCAGAGCCAACAGCAGCCUCCUGUUUGUGAUUAAAGUUCAAUUAUCAGGGGAGCAGAUAAGAACCUCUGAAGUAAAUACAUCAUGUUGUAAGAAUUAACCAUUUUUAAUGUAAGCUGUGUUAGUCACUCCCAGGGGAUAAACAGAAUAAAGUAACUGCUAAAUGUCCGAGAAUAGAGCAGUGAGACUGGAGGGGCAUGCUCUAUACACCAAAACUACUUCAUUAAGCUAAAGUUGUUUUGGUGCUUAGAAUAUUUCUUAAACAGACUGGUUAUAGAUUAGGUUACUGUCCCUUUAAAUAGGUAAAAUGUUAACUCCUUUAUCUAAUCUGUUGUCUUUUAUAUGUUUUUCAGGGAAACGUGUCCGCCAUUACUACUAUUACAGAGUACUUGGUUAGCUCGCUCCUGCUAUGCUACAACCCAUCAAGCAGCAGCUAAAAUAAGAAAAUAAUGGAACAGUCUUGGAUUAAGUAAAAAAAAUGACAUGCUAACAAGAAUGCUUCGACGUAUGAAAACACUGUUUGAAUAGCAUGGUAAACACUCUGUAGAAACUGUGUAGAGUGC